rnacentral:misc_RNA from 1 species
GAUGAAGAACGCAGCGAAAUGCGAUACGUAAUGUGAAUUGCAGAAUUCAGUGAAUCAUCGAGUCUUUGAACGCACAUUGCGCCCCCUGGUAUUCCGGGGGGCAUGCCUGUCCGAGCGUCAUUAUCACCCCUCAAGCCCGGCUUGUUGUUGGAUGCAGCGCUUAUCCCGCUCCUCCCAAAGAUAAUGACGGCGUCUGCGACGACUCCUGUACACUGAGCUUUCGGGCACGUACACGGCUAGAAGUCCAGACCCGGUCGCCGUCCCCCCCGCGGGGACACCCAUUACCACAAGGUUGACCUCGGAUCAGGUAGGAAUACCCGCUGAACUUAAGCAUAUCAAUAAGCGGAGGA